CCUGGCUCAGGAUGAACGCUAGCUACAGGCUUAACACAUGCAAGUCGAGGGGCAGCAUUGGGAUAGCUUGCUAUUCAGAUGGCGACCGGCGCACGGGUGAGUAACGCGUAUCCAACCUUCCUGCCAGUAGGGAACAGCCCGGCGAAAGUCGGAUUAAUGCCCUAUGUUCUUCAAUGCGGACAUCUAAGUUGAAGGAAAGAUUCAUCGCUGGCAGAUGGGGAUGCGUCCGAUUAGCUUGCCGGCGGGGUAACGGCCCACCGGGGCGACGAUCGGUAGGGGUUCUGAGAGGAAGGUCCCCCACACUGGUACUGAGACACGGACCAGACUCCUACGGGAGGCAGCAGUGAGGAAUAUUGGUCAAUGGGCGUAAGCCUGAACCAGCCAAGUAGCGUGCAGGAACCGACGGCCCUACGGGUUGUAAACUGCUUUUAUGCGGGGAUAAAGUGCGGCACGUGUGCCGCUUUGCAGGUACCGCAUGAAUAAGGACCGGCUAAUUCCGUGCCAGCAGCUGC
rnacentral:rRNA from 1 species